GGCUGGUGGACGUUUUGCCACAUGAAGGUGGGUACGCACUGGCCAAUAUAUCGGCCGUUCUCUUGAACGGUGGUUAUAUCGUGGGUCCGUUGGCCAGUGUGUACAGACAAUAUGUCUGUGAACUCCGUCGUUCACUGACAUAUCGUGUCGGCCCCGCAGCACAGCCGACGGCCAAUAUAUCUACUGAUAUAUUGGCGCAUCGCUGUGUGUGUAUGGGCGGUCGGUCGACCGCCCGUACACAUGCUGCGGCAGCCAGCGGUGAUUGACAGCUGAACUGGGCGGGCGUGUGUGUACACGCCCGUCCAGUCCAUGACGUCAGUCCCCGACGGAUCGGGCAGCGUGUAUGCUCAACACACUGCCCGAUCCGUCCAUAGAUAUAUCUGCCGAUCAAUUGAUCGGCAGAUAUAUCUACCAGUGUGUACCCACCUUCACUCUGAAACUAAGCAACCGAUCACAAUGCCAAUAGGACAGAUCUCUACACACUCUGUGUUUCAUGUGGUCACUAUGGUGAUGGGUUUGGUGCGGACGUGACGGCUUUCAGCCGCGACGUCAUCAGACAGCGUCCCGCCUCGGUGUCCUGCGCUGGCGCCCCGGCGGGCGGGAGAAAUGUUCACAUCGGUGGGGAUAUAAGACACAGAAAAAAGAAAACCCUGAUACAGGAAUGAAGGAAGCAUUGUUGAUGCGUUUGCCCUGGGAGCGACAUUAUACGAUAGUGUUACAAGAACAGGAAUUACAUCGGUAC